UAAAUCACAAUCAUAUAACUGACACAUACCGAGCCAAAAAAUAAUAUUAUACAUACUCGAUUUGCAAAUUGCAAAUAUCAAUACAAAUCAUAUUAUAAAUACACAAUAUGCAAAGAACAGUAAGGAGCUGCGGAUGGCGCAUAGUAUUUUUUCGAUUUACUAUUUAUUAGAUUUUUAAUAUAAAAGACAGAAUAUCAUGUUACUUUCUACAUGGCCUUUUUUGCAAAAAAAAUGGUUUUUUUAUAUAGAAUUCACAGUAAAUGUUUUAGGACCUUAGGGAGACACUCGUGUUAACAGACCUAGUAAAUAAAUAUGCAUAUAAGGAAAGAAACAGCAAUGGCUACCACAUGGAAACAUGUGGAGAGAUAUCUAUACAUAAGAAACAAAAAUGACUUAUGUACCAUGGCUAUUUCACGGCCAUAACAAAAAGGAAGUGAAACAGAAGAACUUCAAUACGUACAGCAGUACUAUUAGAGUUGACGAAGGGCUGGUGCUGCUUACUGUUUUCCUGCCGGACGAUUCGUGCUUGCGGAUGUUGAUGUUAACCUCAAUCUGUCUGCAAGUUUUUCUUUAGUUUCUCUUAUUUCUUCAGUAGCUGCAUAAGCAAUCACAUGUGUCUUUGAUCUGAAUGUUUACUGUAGCCAGAAUCUUGCUGCGUUCCUGCUGUGGCCCAGACCUAAUUUUAGCUUGUUUAAUUAGCGUUUGACCCGGCACAAUCUGGGCUCGUGGGAUGGCACACGCAACUAUUGGAUUGUGGCGAAUUUCCCGUUGGUUCAGUUAAGCGAUGAAAUGAAAGGAAAGACUAAAAAUGAAGCAAGUUUUGGCAUGGAAAAAGCCUUUCUCUAUGACUGAAUUUCUGUUCUCUGUUUCCUUCAACCUCAUGUGUGUGUGUUGUGUUCUUUAGAAAUAAAAUUCAGAUAAAAGAGAGCAGAUAAGUGAUGAAAACUGACAGUGGAAUCAUUAAUUGAAAACUACAUAUUAGAUCAAUGAAUUUUGGGGUCGCCAAACUGCUUCAUAUAUCUUCGUGAACCAUGAGAAAAUGUACGGAAUAAAAAUAGCUUCAGUUUGCCUAAUUAAUUUUUGGACAGGGCGUGGUCUAGUAAUAAUGAUCAAACGUCAAGUAUGUUGAGGACAGACAUAGUCACCUAUGUCAAACCUUCAUGAUUCAUGGCAUUGCCUGUAUAUGUAUUAGAUUGGGUCACGUUCUUCAAGGUCUGCAACAUAGAUCGGGGCUGGGUAGAAGAGGACAUGGAGAGGUGGCAGAGGAGGGAGAUCGUGGAUGGGUGGAAGAGAUGGGGAAGAGGUGAGAUGGAAAUAUUUUUUUUCAGGGAGAGGCCUAGAAGGAACUUUCUCAUGUGGGAUAGUUCGUAGGGACUAUGAUGGAUUUCAUCCGACGGCUCCAGAGAUGCAACUCUAAGAUCGGAUGGAUGAUUUUGUUAAUUUUCUAGGAUUAACAUGGUGUCUCGAUUAGUGCUUCCAAUUAGUAAAUAUAUAAUGUAAGAUGUAUUGUGAUUUAAAAAUUAACGGAAUGCCACCGAUUGAGAUGGUCAUCCAUACCCUCUUGUGGUAAGAAACAAAAAAGGUAUAAAGGCCUACUUUUUCAAUUUGGAUUCCCAAGAAAUAAAUAUGGUUCUACCCGAACAAAUUGACACCGGUGAUCCAACAAAAAAGGAAGAUUCGUUCAAGUAUACAUAAGCUAAUUGCGGUAGUUCUUGCUGUUGUACACCAGGGCAAGAAAGAACCUGCCGAGACUGCCCAAAUAUCAAGCUGAAAAUACCUUAUUCUUUAGUCUAUAGGCCAUAGCUGUAAAUUCCAAAUAUUAAAGGCUAUUUGAUAAAACUGUAGAGAGCAACCAUUACAUACAAUUGCAAAUUGAUUUCCUAUGAACAUGACCUCAAGACUCAAGCCAUAAAUUGAUUUGAUGGGUUAGAAAAUAGAAAACGAAAUUUCAGAAUUCGGAUUACCCUCUUAUUGACUGAUGAUGAAUUGACCUAGAACAAUGUUCAUGUCCAGAGAGCUGCUGCGCCCGUCUCUUGUAGUAGCUCCACUCGGCGGCCUCACCAAUGGUCGUAAUUUGACUGACAUCGGUAUGCCUCAUCCACUUCAUUAACCAUUUUUAUCUCUGUUAGCCUAAAUUGAACUCAUUAGAAGCCAUCAUGAUCACUUCAUCUUCCUUUCAUACUAAGUAAACCAAUCAGGCAUCCCAAGCUGAGCAACAACAACGAAUUUUAGGCCUUAUUUAGCAGCAAUAAUAUGCAAAAUUAGCACUGUUCAGCUAGAGCACUACUUAAAAGCAUGUGAACAGAUCUCAGUACUCCAAAAUUAUUAUUAACAGGUCUGUAACAUGGAUGUUUGUACAGAACCUAUCUGCAGUCUGCAAAUUAUCAUCUUCCAGAAAUUUGUCCAAACACACAAUUAGCAAAAGUUAAGAUAUAGGCCUUUUGCAGGUAAGAAUUGAAGGCAGCACAAACUAAUACACAUGGAAACUUUCAAUCUUCACUGAACUAUUUAGGUUUAGCCACCCUGGGCCGCCUAAUGGUUGCAGGUUGAACAUGACGCUGCUCCCUGGGAGGCUUCUAUAAUCCAAUCAGAGUAGAGAAGAAGUUCUACUCAUAGAUUUAAGAGUAAUCUUACCUCUAGAGGUACAACAAAGCAGAGUUUUCAUGGAUCUAGAAACAAGAAGCAGUGGAGUACGCAUCUAGAUCCAUGAAAAGACGGCCGUGUGGCCGGCUGGACUGUGCAGCAGGGGUACAGAAAGGGGCCUCGCAUGAUUGGGGUGCAACAGCGAGCUAGCCGCUACCGUAGGAGGCCGGCGUAAGAUCGAGAAAGAGGAUGGCCACCGGAGAUAGCAGGACCAUGGUCUGCUGGAGGGAGGACAUGGUGAUUGAGGUCAUGAGGGACAACCUAUGCGUGGAAAGCGUG
rnacentral:lncRNA from 1 species